rnacentral:SRP_RNA from 1 species
CCAUGCUAGAUGGGGAGGUAGCGGUGCCCUGUAACCUGCAAUCCGCUAUAGCAGGAUUGAAUUCCUAGCUGAGGCAUGAUUAUUGUAGGGUCUGCCCUAGACAAGUGGCGUUGACGAUCGGGUCCUACGCAACAGGAGCCCAUGAACUCCGUCAGAUCCGGAAGGAAGCAGCGGUAAGUGGUUACUUCUUGUGUGCCGUAGGGUUGCCUGGUUUGAGUUAACUAUUUAGGUAACGCUUAUGGGAUCAUGUCGAAGCUAGGUGCAUGG